rnacentral:rRNA from 1 species
UACGUAGGGGGCUAGCGUUAUCCGGAUUCAUUGGGUUUAAAGGGUGCGUAGGCGGUUUUUUAAGUCAGUGGUGAAAUCCUGCGGCUCAACCGUAGAACUGCCAUUGAAACUGAAGAACUUGAAUAUAGUUGAGGUAGGCGGAAUGUGCAGUGUAGCGGUGAAAUGCUUAGAUAUUGCACAGAACACCGAUUGCGAAGGCAGCUUACCAAGCUAUUAUUGACGCUGAGGCACGAAAGCGUGGGGAUCGAACAGGAUUAGAUACCCU